AGGCCCUUUAUAGCUUUUAAUCACCUGAAUGAGCCUGAAGCUGCUGAUCAGCCUCUGUUGUUGUGUUUUCUCCGUGUUUCCUGUCCGCCAUGAUGGAGCCGCCGCCAUGAUGGACGCGUGUUUCCUUCCUGGCCCGCUGCUGAUCCUCCUCCCAGAGACGGGACUCUAAAAAUAAACCCGCUUCUUCUCUCCGUCGUGCCUGCAGGUGGAGAAGAAACUUUGUUUUAUUGCUCCUGUCGUCUUUCAGGAGCAGGUUUGCAGUGAAUGUUGGAAAAUCUCGAUAAGCGGCGGCUGAGCGAACAUCAGACCGUAACGGCAGAACAUGCGGAGCCGCCGUCCUCGGCCUCUCAAUCACAGCGGCUGGCAGGGGGAACCUCGCCCUCGGCUUGUGAUCCCCGUAAUGGAAUAUGGUGUAUAAUCGAGAGGCGAGCUGCUGAGUUAAUGAAAAGGGUGGAGAGGUGACAUUUUCUGAGGGACGUCUGAAGGAGGGUGACAUUUACAAAGAAGAAGCCCCAAAGACGGACCGUUUUUUUUUCUUCUUCUUCUUCAUAUGCGAAGCUGAUUUCUGCGCAACUGAAAUCCCCAAUUCAGCUUGGCGGCUUUCUGAGUCCGGAUCCCGUCUCGGGGCGGACAACAAAUCGGCUCCUUCACGGCCCAGUGAACCAUCGACUGGGUAACCAGCAGACAGGAAAGAUUCAUGGGGCUUUAAACCGUCGCUGGCCUCUGCUCUCUUCCUCUCCGAACCGCGCGCUGCUCCGUGACUCUGGACGUUACACACAGAAUAAAAAUGAGGCGAGGCAGCUGGAAAAUUGAACAUGUUGUCAGGCUGCUCUCGGUGAUUUAGGGACUGUGGAUUGGAGUCAUUUGUUUUAGCUAAUGUAAAUACAGUGAUGGUGGGGCUGGUGAUGCACAACGCUCACUGGGGUUACUGGUAAUGGGAGUGCUGCACUGGGAUAUGCUGAUUACGGUGGUGUAGCAUUUUGACGUACACCCACAUCAGUGUUGCAAAUGGUGCCACUUUGGUUGAUGGUGGCAGUUAAAUUUGGUUUUAACGGGUUAUAAGAACAGAAGCUGAUGCACAGUCGGUGUUUUAAACGCUUUACAUUUUCUACUUCUAAUUAAAACUGAUGUGAAAUAACUACGCAGAAUAAUCAGAUGCAUGUUAAAUCCCUAUGCACCACUUUAUUUCUAGGCCUGUCGUAAUAAGCAAUAAAUAAAUUAAUCAAUUAAUUGCAUGAACUCAAUAAUUUCCAUUUGGAUUAUUUAUUGUUUUCUCUUUUCUCUCUGUGUUUCUAACAAAACCUGGAUAAUAAAAGUCUUCAGUCUGGCUUUUUGGCCUCAACUAGC